rnacentral:rRNA from 1 species
CAAAGAUUAAGCCAUGCAUGUCUCAGUACAAGCCAAAUUAAGGUGAAACCGCGAAAGGCUCAUUAAAUCAGUUAUGGUUCCUUAGAUCGUACUCACAUUUACUUGGAUAACUGUGGUAAUUCUAGAGCUAAUACAUGCAAACAGAGCUCCGACCGGAGACGGAAGGAGCGCUUUUAUUAGAUCAAAACCAAUCGGUGGCGGGUCUCCCGUCACCGUACACCUUGGUGACUCUGAAUAACUUAUUGCUGAUCGCACGGUCUCGCACCGGCGACGCAUCUUUCAAAUGUCUGCCUUAUCAACUGUCGAUGGUAGGUUCUGCGCCUACCAUGGUUGUAACGGGUAACGGGGAAUCAGGGUUCGAUUCCGGAGAGGGAGCCUGAGAAACGGCUACCACAUCCAAGGAAGGCAGCAGGCGCGCAAAUUACCCACUCCCGGCACGGGGAGGUAGUGACGAAAAAUAACGAUACGGGACUCAUCCGAGGCCCCGUAAUCGGAAUGAGUACACUCUAAACCCUUUAACGAGGAUCAAUUGGAGGGCAAGUCUGGUGCCAGCAGCCGCGGUAAUUCCAGCUCCAAUAGCGUAUAUUAAAGUUGUUGCGGUUAAAAAGCUCGUAGUCGAAUUUGUGUCCCGCGCCGCCGGUUCAUCGCUCGCGGUGUCAACUGGCGUGUCCGCGGGACGUCCUGCCGGUGGGCUUAGCCCCCCGUGGGCGGCCCAAUCUCAAUCCCACCGCGGUGCUCUUCAUUGAGUGUCGAGGUGGGCCGGCACGUUUACUUUGAACAAAUUAGAGUGCUUAAAGCAGGCUAAAACAUCGCCUGAAUACUGUGUGCAUGGAAUAAUGGAAUAGGACCUCGGUUCUAUUUUGUUGGUUUUCGGAACCCCGAGGUAAUGAUUAAUAGGAACGGAUGGGGGCAUUCGUAUUGCGACGUUAGAGGUGAAAUUCUUG